ensembl:ncRNA K04A8.12 ncRNA
GUUACGUCACAAUUCUUGAAACAUCGGAGGUUUCGGUGAGUUUCAAAGUUCACCACCCUCUGUUUCUGCGUAUCGCGAUCUCGUGGGCUCUUCGAGCAUCUCCCAAAAAUAGUAGAGACGAUAUACAACAAUCUGUGCGGUCAG